ACACUCCUACGGGAGGCAGCAGUGGGGAAUUUUGGACAAUGGGCGAAAGCCUGAUCCAGCAAUGCCGCGUGUGUGAAGAAGGCCUUCGGGUUGUAAAGCACUUUUGUCCGGAAAGAAAUCCUUGGCUCUAAUACAGUCGGGGGAUGACGGUACCGGAAGAAUAAGCACCGGCUAACUACGUGCCAGCAGCCGCGGUAAUACGUAGGGUGCGAGCGUUAAUCGGAAUUACUGGGCGUAAAGCGUGCGCAGGCGGUUUGCUAAGACCGAUGUGAAAUCCCCGGGCUCAACCUGGGAACUGCAUUGGUGACUGGCAGGCUAGAGUAUGGCAGAGGGGGGUAGAAUUCCACGUGUAGCAGUGAAAUGCGUAGAGAUGUGGAGGAAUACCGAUGGCGAAGGCAGCCCCCUGGGCCAAUACUGACGCUCAUGCACGAAAGCGUGGAGAGCAAACAGGAUUAGAUACCCCUGUAGUCCCAUG
rnacentral:rRNA from 1 species